rnacentral:lncRNA from 1 species
UGUGAACAGGUUAUGACAAUUUGAAUCAGUUGAUAUUAGUUACUUAUAAGUCUUAUAAGUCUCAUCAAGGUUUUUAAACAUUCCGUCCAAAGAAGACUAAUGCAGACUUGAAAAAAUAGACAGUGUGUCUCCACUUCUAAGGCAUGAAAUCAGAGCUACAUUCCAAAAAUAUGUGAAUUACCAAAAAAAGACCACAAACUUUGUCUAUUUAAAAGUGUGUAUUUAAUGUUUUUAGGACUGUUACGUUACAGUCUUUUGUUUCAUUGUAAGCUCUAUUGAACAGUAUUUCGAAGGUAAUUCACUGAGCUUAUACGGAUCAGUCUGACCCUAGAUGAACAAUGCUUCUUAUUGGUUUUAGAUUAAUAAUCCAUACACAGCACUAGUUUUCUUACUUAAUUUUUCACAACUCUUUCUCAGGAGUUGAAGAGUUACUGAGAGUUCAGUUCAUCUGUCUUCUCUCAAAUAAAGAGAGACUCCCUGCAAAUAUGUCUAAUCUUCCUUAGCUCUUUCAUAACCAUCACUUUUCCCUCUCUCUGUGGGACAUGAUACGUUCGCUCCGUCAGCUUGAGGCUUAUCGCUGUGUUUAAAGGGUAAGAAAACACUGGGAUGUUUGGUUUCUAAUAGGCCUGUGUGGUGUAAUUGGCUAAUUGCUUGAUUUUUCUCUGAAGGGUUCUGUGUUCUGUCACAGAGGCAGGAGGCCAUAAACACAUAUGAGCAUCUCCCUCACUGUCAAGGCUUUCUGAGUUGUAAUUGGCUGAGAGCUGCACUGUCAGCUGAUUGGCCGGGCUGAGGAUGAAUGGCCACGCUGACAACCAAUGGGGCCAGAUGAGGGUGAGCCGGGUGAGAUAUGGGACGCCGCAUUCUUGAGCAUAAUCAAAUCUUUGGAGCUUUCACUGAUGAAAAGAGCAACUAGGACUCGGAUCUCGUCAAAAUAUCUCAUUUGUUGUUCCCUGGAAGCAAGAAAAGUUUGGAAAUUACAUUUGGUCGACUUCCUCUCUGCGCCACAGAACUUCCUGUGUUGAUUCCGUGAAAGCAGACCCACCAGCUUCCCCCCAGCGGAAUGAGUGCAUGCCUGUGCACGUGGGUGCCCAUCUUAUAUAUUGUAAGUCACUGCCACCUACCACACUCAGCAUUCUCUUUCUGCACCCUGCAGUCAUUUAGCCUGCUUCAGUAUUUGUCUACAGGGUGUGACUGCUAUAAAUGUGGCUACUUCAGUGUGUUCAGUGUAUUUGAUACCAAUUUAUUGUAAGUUUUGCAACCAAUUAUGGGUCAAUGACAUAAUACAAAUAUUUUUGAAGCGCCAACCUGUUGUUAUUAUUAUGAACAUAUUUUUGUUCAUUUAAAUAAUUAGGUCAUUAAUUCAUUCAAAUUAAAUUUGAUAUUUUUUACAUUUGUCAGGUCGAUACUAGUUUCAUAAUGGGAACAUUAAAACAAUGAAAUAAAUCAUUUAAAGGAGAACUUUAGUAAGUAAGCAACAGUGUUGUUAUUUCUUGGGAAUACAAAUAUUUUUAAAAUAUGGUAAAAAAAAAAUUGCUUCAGCUUUUAUUCAUAUUUUUAUUAAUUCAUAUUUUAUGUUAGUCAUUAUAUUUAAUGUGAUGCCACAGAAACGUAGUCCUAUUUUUGAAUUAACAAUGUGUGAUAUUUGUUUGAAAAAUAUGUCUUAUAUUGACCAGUAUAUUUCAACUCUCACAUGUAAUCAGGAUGUAAAAUGUCAUGUGGUGCAACUCCAUAGAAACAGUGAUAUUUAAGAAUUGAUAGUUUUGUGAUCUUAAAAAAAAAAAAAAAAACGAACAAAAAAAAUGUUUGAAUUUUUGGAAAUAACUAUUAAGCACAAUUAUAUAUAUAUAUAUAUAUAUAUAUAUAUAUAUAUAUAUAUAUAUAUAUAUAUAUAUAUAUAUAUAUGCAUAUUCUAUAUUGAGGAUGCAGACCACAUGUGGUGCAACUCCAUGGAUUAAUGGAUGGGAUUAUUUUUAUUUCAUUUUAUGUAAAAAAAAAAAAAAAAAAAAAAAAAAAAAAAAAACACUAAAACACUUCCUACUCUGAAAUAUAUAUAUAUAUAUAUAAAAUAUAUUUGAAAUUAAGAUGAUUAAUAAUUUUGAAUAAUGCAAUUAAUAAUUAACGAUUCAAAGUUGUGAGGAAACAUAACAAAUAAAUAAAUAAAAUCCCUUUUUGAUUGCUAAUACCACAUGACAUUUUUAGAACCAUUAAACUAAAACUUUUCUUGAAAAUGGUAUAAACAAUUUUUUUUUUAAAACCUUAUGAAACCAACAGGAAUACAAAGAAUUUAGCAAGUGUUUUGCACUAGAUUUGUAUUGUUUGCACUCUUUGACCGAUGCUUAGAACCGCCAGCACAAAAUACUCAAGUGCAGCCUCUGUCACCUCGACUGAAGGGCAAACAGAGACCGUCUGGCUCGGUGAGGUCACCUGUGACCUGGGAAACACACAGAAUUUUGCAGAAGCAUAUGACAGAUGAAAAGAUUUUCAAUCUAUGGCAUGUCCAAACAAAUGUUCUAAUGAUUUAGGAUAUGGGCUUACAUUUGAAAUACACAUAAAGUGAAAUAGGCCUAUAUCUAUUUAUGCUACAGUGAUUUUCCAUCAUUAGAAACGAAGAAAUGGUGACUUGUGAAUCUCUGUGUUAAGAUUACAUUAUUCUUUGGGGAUUGGUAACCAAAGCUCCCCUGUUCCCGACCCCGGUCCUGUAUCUUUCUUUCCUCUCUCGUUCUUGUUUGAUGUCACUGUAAGUGGAGUCUCUGGGUGGGCUUGGACGGUAUCGGGUCUUGGACUGACUGACUGCUCCAUCAUGUUGUUUUCUGGCAGCACUACAGACAAAUGAUCAAGACACAUCCAUUCCUUUGCUCCGUAGCGGAACAGAGCGAUCUGGCCAUGCCUUGUGCUGUUAAACAGCAAUGGUCCUGGUUUUCAUCCUUUCCUUACCGGCAGGUUUAAAGACACUCUGUUGAGUUUAUCAAAAGUAGUUUAAGAGCAGAAACGACAUCAGGACUUCCAAUGGGAAAUCAUGCGUGUGUGUGUAAGCGUGUUAGUUUAUAUACAGCAUCUCUGAUGAAUCACUGUGGUUGUGAAUUACACAGCAUCCUCUAGUGAAUGACUGCAGAACUGCUUCAAAACUGCACCUGGAUUUGUAAUUUUAGACUAAAGCUAAAGCAAAACCUUGUCUGCUGCUGUCAUGAUAUCAGCUUAAUUAAAUAUCAAGACAAAUUGGGGAUUAUGUAUACUUUUUUGUAUUCAUAUUUAAAAUUUCUUGUUGAAAAUGUGUAAAAAGAAAAAAAAAUAGUAUAAUGCUCAAUGUAAGCAUUUUCAAUAGUUAUAUUAGACGUUUGGAUCCCAUUGUAUUUGGGAAUCAUUUACAUCUGUUUUUAUAGCCAAAGUAAUAUAGCUUUUUUUUCACAAAACACAGGUAGCCCAUUGUUCUUUCAUGCGAACUGCCAUUUUAUGAUGACUGAGCUUGUUUCUGCAGUGUUAGACGUCUUUUGAGUUACAUAAACAUUUAUGCAGCAGUAUUUUUUUAAAGGAGGAUUCGCCAUGCCUUGUAAAUCUGUCUCAUGCUUUGAAGUCUUAUCUGGCUCAAGACAUGGAUCGUAGUGCUGCUCUGAUCCUAUGGAAUCCCAGUCCCUCGUGUGUGUGUGUAUGUGUGUGUGUGUGUGUGUGUGUUCCUACACUAUGAACAGCCCCCAGAAAACCUUGAUGCAUAUUUUACUGUUGAACGUUCAAGUGAUGUGAUUAAUGAAAUGUAAAAGAUAAAACACUUUUUUUCUAUGUCGUAAUUUGAAUUUGUACAUUUAACAUACAUAAAUCAGGUAUUCAAGCAAUAUGGAUUGUUUUUCCCAGGGGCAGACUAUUGUUAGCGUAAAAGUGUCUGUGUUUGAGUGGUGUCUGUGUGUGUGUGUGUGUGUGUGUGUGUGUGUGUGUGCAUUUGUAACAUUUAUCAGCAAUCCCUGUUUGUUCAUUAUAGUAUGGGAAUAUUGAUGAAUGUUUCCUGUGUUAAUCCUAUAGUUUAGGCAUAUAUAUACUUUUAAAACGUGCUGUUACUCCCCCAAGUGGGCAAAAUGCAGAUCACAUAUCAGAUUAGCAGAUUUUACGCUUUGCUUCAUGAACCUUUAGAAACCAGUUUGCAUAGAUCUGUCUCCAUUUGCUAUCAAGAUUGGUGUAGUUGCGCUAUAUAUCCAUAUGCAAUCCACAGUGAUUAGCCUAUUACAUGUGAAUCUGGUUUAGUCUACAGUAGAAUAGUGUGCGGCACAUGACUCAGCUCACUGACCUGGUCCGUCUGGUACUGCAGAAUCAGAUAUUGCUAUCAUCUGUCUCGCUGACUUCUGGUGUCAUUCUCUCAGAGCUGCAGUUCAUAGGUUUGAAUAGCUCAUGCUGGACCAGAGCCCUGCUGAUUCAUCUUAUUUAAUAUGCAUAGACAGAAAGGUGACCUGGCCUGUUCAUUCACUUAUAGACCCAAGUUUAUGCCAGCGUCAACACUCAGCACUCUUUGUUGUGGAGUAUUGAGAACUGUGAGUCCUAACUUUAAAUGCAUCAGCCAGGAUAUAUGAAGUGUGUCUCUGUUUUGAAGCUCUAUUUGGAACUUCUCUGAGUACCUUUACAAAACAUUACAAUGUCUUUAGUGAAGUAAAAGUUUUUUUUGACUAAAUCUAUGGUUCACAUUCCACACAUUAACUUAACACAUUAAGUUUUUUUAGUUUAACCUUGUUUUUCCCUUAUUAUAACUAUGUUUUCACAAAUGCCAUGAAAUCUUAUAGAUUUAUUCGCAAUUCAGCCAAAUAGUCUCACCUCUGACCGCCUUGACCUCCCUCAGAAAUACGCUCAGGUGGUCUAAUACAGCUGAAACUGUAUUUUCCAACCUCAAGAGGCACUUCGUUUUGGCUUCCAUCUUAGUCACCCCUGAUCCCAAACGUCAGUUCCUGGUGGAGGUCGACGCAUCAGUGGUGGGAGUAGGUGCAGUUCUUUCCCAUCGUGCUGCCUCAGACGACAAGAUGCAUCAUUGCGCGUUUACUCCCUAGUGUGUUUUACCUCAGAUAAUAGUCAUCUCAUCACUCAUAUGGGAGGUUGAAUCAAAAGUCAAGACGGCCUUAGAAGGGGUAAUGCCUCCGCCCGAGUGCCCACUGAAUCGGUUGUACGUUCCAGAGGAGUUACGGUCCAACGUUAUUCAGUGGGGUGCCCUCGAGCUGGCGAGGUAUGUACCGCCAUGGACGCUCGAGGCGGUGGGCUGGAGCGAGUUUCCGGGGACAGGCGAGCUAGCUGCCGGCCGCCCACGAUGAGGAGGGGCGGCUGCCGUCCGUGAGGGAGCGGAGGAGUCGGCGCCGUUGGCCAGGGGGC